GUGCCUAAUACAUGCAAGUCGAGCGAGCGGAACCAACAGAUUUACUUCGGUAAUGACGUUGGGAAAGCGAGCGGCGGAUGGGUGAGUAACACGUGGGGAACCUGCCUCUAAGUCUGGGAUACCAUUUGGAAACAGGUGCUAAUACCGGAUAAUAAAGCAGAUCGCAUGAUCAGCUUUUGAAAGGCGGCGUAAGCUGUCGCUAAGGGAUGGCCCCGCGGUGCAUUAGCUAGUUGGUAAGGUAACGGCUUACCAAGGCGACGAUGCAUAGCCGAGUUGAGAGACUGAUCGGCCACAUUGGGACUGAGACACGGCCCAAACUCCUACGGGAGGCAGCAGUAGGGAAUCUUCCACAAUGGACGCAAGUCUGAUGGAGCAACGCCGCGUGAGUGAAGAAGGUUUUCGGAUCGUAAAGCUCUGUUGUUGGUGAAGAAGGAUAGAGGUAGUAACUGGCCUUUAUUUGACGGUAAUCAACCAGAAAGUCACGGCUAACUACGUGCCAGCAGCCGCGGUAAUACGUAGGU
rnacentral:rRNA from 1 species